rnacentral:rRNA from 1 species
UGGGGAAUUUUGGACAAUGGGGGCAACCCUGAUCCAGCGACGCCGCGUGGAGGAUGAAGGUCUUCGGAUUGUAAACUCCUUUUGGAGGGGAAGAAUGCCCUGAUGAAAAAUCAGGGGUGACGGUACCCUCGGAAUAAGCCACGGCUAACUACGUGCCAGCAGCCGCGGUAAUACGUAGGUGGCAAGCGUUACUCGGAAUCACUAGGCGUAAAGCGCAGGUAGGCGGUUGGGUAAGUCUGUUGUGAAAGCUCCUGGCUUAACUGGGAGAGGCCAACGGAAACUGCUCGGCUGGAGUGUGGUAGAGGAAGCUGGAAUUCCCGGUGUAGCGGUGAAAUGCGUAGAUAUCGGGAGGAAUACCAAUGGCGAAAGCAGGCUUCUGGACCAUCACUGACGCUGAUCUGCGAAAGCUAGGGGAGCAAACAGG